CGGACGUACUUUCGUGAGCUCUGACUAUUGAUGAAAAGUUUUCGCGUUAUAGAAUAGCGACUUGGUACUCAGGUUGUUGAAUGACUGGAUGACUGAAGUGUUAGGUUAUUGUUAUGAGAUAACAACUUGACUUUGACUUGAGUUGUGAAAUGAAAUCAUACUCUUAUGCGAUGAUAACUUUUGAACGUUUAGUACUGACUGACAACGAAUUUUUGUGAGCGUUAUAUAUGAAAUGUUUGACUUACAUUAAUUUUUUUGAACGACUUGACUUCAAUUUAAGUUUUGACAUCGGACUGAUCGGACGUGUUUUUUUAAGCCCUGACUGUUGUGAAUAAUUAAAUUUAUGUUGUGGUGUCAAGCGAUUGACUGUCAGUUGAGGUUCAGAUGUCGAGCUGUGCGGACGUGUUCAUCGAGCUGCUGUCUACAAAAAACGUGAGUACAAAUUUUUUUCGUUUUACUGUUUACAAGUUGCGUGAUGAUGUAUGAUGGUUGUAAUGUGUUGGGUAGAAAUUACUCAGUGCUGAUACAGUGUCGAUAUGUUGUGAUGAGCGAUAAUAGUGGAUGAUGGUGGAACAGAAUAUUCAUUGAGCUAUUUUGAGGAAGCGAACAUAUGAUGGAAAAAUGUUGCAAAAAUAUUAAAUGACAAUGUAUUGAAUCGCUUUUGUUGAUAUGUAUGAUAUUGAUUAAAUUGUAUUUGCAUGCUGUAACAUUUCUAUUCCAUUUCAGGGGGCUGUGGUGAGUAUUGUAGUAUAAAUUUGUUUCAAUAAAUCAUGAUGAAUGAAAACUGAUUUUGAUUCGUUUUGUACAGGUUUACUUGUAUAGAAGUGUAAUGCGUUGGGUAGAAAUUAGAAUCUACUCAGUACUGAUAUAGUGUCGAUAUGUUGUGAUUAGCGAUGAUGGUGUAUGAUGGUGGAACAGAACAUGAGCUACUUUGGGGAAACGAACAUAUGAUUGAAAAAUGAUUGCAAACAUAGUAGAUGAAUGAUAUGAUAUUGCUUAAAUUGUAUUUGCAUGCUGUAACAUUUCUAUUUCAUUUCAGGGUGCUGUGGUGAGUACUGUAGAUUGUAGUGCAUAUGUAUAGAAUUCAAUAAACGAUGAUGAAUGAAAACUGAUUUCGAUUCGUUUUGUGUAAUUUUAGGUAUUUUCACUCUAUCACAACUCUGUCGGUUGGUGUUCAUGAGUGUGAGACUAAUACAGCAAUGUUUGAGUAGUACAAAAAUGUUUUCGCUUUUGUGGUCGCCAGCUGUCCGUGAUCUGUAAAGUGAAAAUACACAGAGCUAUGAAGCAUACAGAUGUUUCGAAAUUUUAUCAAUGAUUGUAUACUAUGCAUGUUUUGAUUUAGUUCGUUUCAGAUUUGACAUGAGAUGAAAACCUGACAUGAUUUGAACAGAGCUGGGAAACGAAAAGGUAAGUCUGUUUCAUUCCACUAUGAACACUUGUAUUUUGACAAAAGAAGAGAUAAAGUGAGUUACUUUAUCAUCAUGGUUUCAUUUAGUGAACAGAGGUAAACCUAGCUAGCUUUUCGUGUACUCUAUUUUGGAUGAUGAGUAUGUCAGUAACUUUAAUUGUACGGCUAGUAAAGUAUGAACAUGAAUGCUUUGUUCAGAUUUUCAGAUGUGUGCUGGCAGUUCAAGUCUGGCAGCUGGAGUGAACAGUCGUGUUUUCUGGAGCUCCAACAAUAUGCUAGAAGGUAAGUAACUAUGUUUGUUUUGCAUUGCAUGUUUUUAUAUGUUUCAGACUUUCAAGCAGAGAUGUCAUGCUGACUGGAGUUGAGCACAGGGCAGUGACAAAGUGAAAGGUAAGUACUUUUGACUGAAUGUUUGUUCUAUGCAUGUUUUGUUUUAAUACAUUUCAGGAGUGCUUAUCCAGUGAUGAUAUGACAGUUGGAGUGAACAGUGGAGCCAAGCAGUCUUGUUUUUGGAGCUACUCAACAAGCCUUGAAGGUAAGUUUAGAAUUUCUCAAUGUUAGUGAAUUGAAGUACUGUCACUUGCUUUUGGACAGUCGAACAGAACAGACGUGGUUGCGAGAGCUCUCAUAUCUGUUGUGUUAAACUGUUUUUAUGAUAUGUUAUGUUUGUUUGUUUGUUUGUGAUGUACUAUUUUUCAGAUGCUGAUGGCAGUGAUGGGUUUUCAAGCUGACCUGAACAGAAAAGCACUCAUAUGGUAAGUACAAAAUAGUUGUUAUAUGGGAUGUUUUGUGCAUGCUUUUAUGUUUCAGGUGUACUUGCUGACAGCGACGAAGACGAAUCAAGAAGAGGAACAUUGUUGAGAAAGUGAUUGGGACUUGCAAACAGGGUAAGUGUAACACUUGUGUUUGUUUAAUUUGUAACAUGCGUGCUUUGCUCUGUUUCAGAUUUCACAUGCAGAAAUUAAACAGGAUUUCAACUGCUGAGACACAAUUCAUCAAAAGUAAGGUAAGUUUUAAUUCAUUGAUUUGAGUUGUACAAUGUGUUCUUUACUUUAUUUCAGAUUCGAGUCACUGGUUUACACAUGGAAGAAGAUUUCCACGUCUGUUACUCAACUCUACAGAAGCAAGAUGUUUUGUUUCAGUUGAUGUCCAGAUGGCAAGCAGUACAGACGUGUUUCUUGGAGCUGCCAAACAGUGAGUACAAACGUUUUAUAUUUUUCAGUUGUUUACUCAUAGAAGUCUGUGAAAGAUGAUAACAAGGGUUGAAUCUAUCAGCACUUGUGUCUAAAAAUGCUGAUGUGUGACGGUUUACUGAAAAGGGUAAAUGCUAGCCAGUACUUACACUUGAGCAACCGUGGGAUGUCGAACUAACUGAUGAUGUACUAUGAUGGUGAACACUUACUAUGUGUAUCAAAAUGCUUUUGUUGAUAUUUACUAUAGAUGAUUUGAUAUUGGUUAACAUUUGUUUGCAUGCUGUUAACAUUUCUAUUUCAUUUCAGGGAGCUGUGGUAAGUAUUGUAGUAUUAAUUUGUCUCAAUAAACGAUGAUGAAUGAAAACUGAUGUCGAUUCUUUUUGUACAGUUUUAGGUAUUAGCACUCUAUACAAAACUCUGUCGGUCGGUGUUUGUGAAUGUGAGCUUAAUGUUUGAGUAGAACAAAAAUGUCUUUACUUUUGUGAUCGCCAGUUGUCUGUGAUGUAAAGUGGAAAAAACACAGCUAUGAAGCAUACAAUUGUUUCAAUAUUUUAUCAAUGAUAGUGUGCUAUGCAUGUUUUGAUUUAGUUCGUUUCAGAUACGACAUGACAUGAAGAGUUGACAGUCGAACAGAGCUGAGCAAAGCAGAAAGGUAAGUGUGUUUCAUUUUAGUAUGAACACUUGUAUUUUGUUUUUAUAUGGUAUGUUUUGUGCAUGCUAUGUUUCAGGUGUACUUGUAGUCAGCGACGAAGACGAUUCAAGAAGAGGAACAUUGCUGAGAAAGUGAAUGGGACUUGCAAACAGGGUAAGUGUUACAAUUGUUUGUUUGAUUUUUACCAUGCAUACUUUGCUUUGCUCUGUUUCAGAUUUCACAUGCAGAAAUGGUCUCAUAGCAGUGCCAACAGUGAAUAAGGAUUUCAGCUGCUGUGAAACAACUCAACAGAAAGUAGGUAAGCAUUGAAUGAAUGCACUUGAGUUGUACAAUUUGAUGUGAUGCUUUUUUUCUGUUUCAGAUUCAAGUUUCUGGUGUAGACAGAAAAAUGUGUUUGAAGAAGGAAUUCUACUACUGUGAUUCAACUCUACAGAAGCAAGGUUUCAAUUGCAGAGAUGUUGCAGAGAUGUUUUGACAGCUUGUGACAGAAAAGAAAUUCAGCAGCUGUGUCUCGACUCUAGCCACGAGGUAAGUCAAAACAAAUAUACUGGUUUGUAUGUUAUGUUGUUAUGCCCUUCUAUGUUUCAGACUUACAUUGCUGUGACUGUUCCACAGUGGGUCAAAAAAGAGACGAAUACAGGUUUCAAGAAGAAAAUUGGCUGUUGAAAACCUGCACAAAAUAUGAGGUAAGUAAACUAUUCUUUUGGUUUGUUUUGUGCUUUGUUAUGCUUAACUAUUUUUCAGAUUGGAAUGGUGGGUCGUUACAGAGCAGACUUUUGGACAACUGAGAAGUUGAGAAACAGAGAAUGAUUCAAGAUCAGCUAGGUAAGUCUUGAUUAUUGUGCAUUGCUAAAUGUUUUUUUUCAUUCCAGUAUGGCUGUGGUAAGUACACAAACUUUCUAUAAUUUAAUAUUGAACUGUUUUUAUGACCUGUAUUCUGCAUUGUAAAAUGUCUGUUUUUCAUUUCAGUAUCCUGUGGUAAGUACACUAACUUUCUUUAAUUUUCAUAUUGAACUGUUUUGAUGACUUGUAUACUACUAUGCAAUGCCUAAUGUUUUUUUCAUUUCAGUAUAGCUGUGGUAAGUACACUAACUUUCUUUAAUUUUCAUAUUGAACUGUUUUGAUGACUUGUAUUCUGCUAAACAAAAUGUGCUUUUUUCAAUUUCAGGUCAGCAAUGGUAAGUAGAUUGUGUUUCUUUAUGUAUAAUUGUGUAUACAAAGUUUUUUUUUCAUCAUAGCAUGUCUUUUAUAUUUAUGCUUUGUGUAAGUAAAAUGUUCAUAAAUCAUUCUUAUCUUCAAACUAAAAAUGUAUUGUGCUAUGCAAAAUGUCUGUAUGUUUUCAGUUGCCAGAGGUGAGUACCAUUACAGUUGAAAAGUUAGUUUUGUUUAGUUAAAGUUUUGGUUCACAGUUUUGUUUGUUAUUUGGCAAAAUUUACAUGUAUGCAUUGAGUCUUGAUUUCAGCUCGAUUGUGGACUGAAGAAGAUUGCCAGCAGAGGGAUUGGAUACAAAAUACAAAGUAAGUACUGAGUUUCUUACUAAAAGUUUUGAGUUGUAUUCAUUGUGUGUAAAUAUGCUAUGAUUGCUAUGAACAUGACUUUUGUAUUUCAGCGAAGACAACAUAGGUAAGUAAAAUUGUUAUCUGUUUCAUGUUUACUGUUACAGUUCAAUAUUGUGUUUAUAAAUUUUAAGUUGUACAAACACAUUCAAAAGUUUCUAAUCAUGCUUUCGAUUUCAUUUCAGCUUUACUGCUAGACGAGUGUUCUCUACUACUUGACGAGUCAGCUUUACUACCAGGCGAGCAGUGACAACAAGGCGCCUUUGUGGAAACAACACAACAAAAAACUCUACUGCUAGACGAGCAGUGACAGAAAGGCGCCUGAACAUGCAACACAAUACAAAAAAUGCCAAUAUCCAAACCUUGAUGUGGACACCGAGUAGUCAAUACAUACGUGUGGCGUAUAGCUGCGACAAAACCGUGGGUCCAUCGCACCGAUAACUUGAACAUUGGCCCGUGUAUGGACAUCAGUGCAACUUUGUGAAUCCAUGUAUCUUUGUGAAUCCAUGUAACAUUGCGAAUGUGUGUCGAUCGAAAAAUGUGUACAUUCUGAACUGAAACGAACUCGGUGUUGCAAGUGGCAAGUGUUGACAGUGUGUAUGUUUAUGUUUAUGUUUUUACAUGAAAACUAAAGGAGAUUGUUCUCCUACCUUUUUUUUCCUUGUUUUAUUGCGCUGGCCAGCAAUAUUGAUGUAUUGAUGUAUGUGUUUGUGUUUAAACUAUGCAAUACCAAAAUCAAACAAAAAAUAAACAUUAACAGUCAUUAACUGUG